rnacentral:rRNA from 1 species
UACGUAGGGGCCGAGCGUUGUCCGGAGUUAUUGGGCGUAAAGCGCGCGCAGGUGGUUCUGUGUGCUCCGCGUGAAAUCGCCCGGCUCAACCGGGCGGGGUCGCGGAUGACUACAGGACUGGAGCCUGGGAGGGGGAAGCGGAAUUCCCGGUGUAGUGGUGGAAUGCGUAGAUAUCGGGAGGAACACCAGUGGCGAAGGCGGCUUCCUGGACCAGAGCUGACACUGAGGCGCGAAAGCGUGGGGAGCGAUCCGG